AUUGAACGCUGGCGGAAUGCUUUACACAUGCAAGUCGAGCGGCAGCGCGGGGCAACCUGGCGGCGAGCGGCGAACGGGUGAGUAAUGCAUCGGAACAUGUCCAUGUCGUGGGGGAUAGCCCGGCGAAAGCCGGAUUAAUACCGCAUACGCCCGAGAGGGGAAAGCAGGGGACCGCAAGGCCUUGCGCGAUUGGGUUGGCCGAUGUCCGAUUAGCUUGUUGGUGAGGUAAAGGCUUACCAAGGCGAUGAUCGGUAGCUGGUCUGAGAGGAUGAUCAGCCAGACUGGGACUGAGAAACGGCCCAGACUCCUACGGGAGGCAGCAGUGGGGAAUUUUGGACAAUGGGGGCAACCCUGAUCCAGCCAUUCCGCGUGAGUGAAGAAGGCCUUCGGGUUGUAAAGCUCUUUUGUCCGGAGCGAAACGGUACGGGUGAAUAUCCCGUGCUACUGACGGUACCGGAAGAAUAAGCACCGGCUAACUACGUGCCAGCAGCCGCCGUAACAC
rnacentral:rRNA from 1 species